UACGUAGGGUGCAAGCGUUGUCCGGAAUUAUUGGGCGUAAAGGGCUCGUAGGCGGUCCAUCGCGUCGGGAGUGAAAAGCUGGGGCUUAACCCCAGUCCUGCUUCCGAUACGGGUGGACUAGAGGUAGGUAGGGGAGAACGGAAUUCCUGGUGUAGCGGUGAAAUGCGCAGAUAUCAGGAGGAACACCGGUGGCGAAGGCGGUUCUCUGGGCCUUACCUGGCGCUGAGGAGCGAAAGCAUGGGGAGCAAACAGG
rnacentral:rRNA from 1 species